UAACACUGAAAAAAAAAAAGAAAAUUCUGAAAUCUUUUACUCACCUCACGUUAACUCAAAUCAGUAUGACUGACUUUCUUUCAUGGAACACAAAAUGAAGUGAACAUUCACAUUCGGACUAAUAUGUGACUAUAUUGUCCUUGUUGGAGUCUGAUAGCAUCUGUUCCUAUUCACUUUAAUUUUCUUGUGUGUUCUAUGGAAGGAAGAAAGAUUUUAUCAAGGUCAUAUUUUUUUUUUUGCAACAACAUGAGGGUGAAUAAAUGUAGAUUAAAUUUUCAUUUUUAAAGUGAACUGUUGCUGUAAAGUCACAUCUUGUUCUCAUCUAUGCAGCUGUCUGUAAUUUAAUGAAGAAGGCAUUACAUGGAUUCAGAAAGGUGUACCAAAGAACUUAGUUGUGUAUUACCAAAGAUAAAAAAUAAUGUGCAAGACUUUUCAAAGCAGUAUUAGAUAUUAACCUAAUUUUUUAAAUCUACGUAAAUAUAAAAGGGAUUGACCCUUUUGCUUUUUUGUACAGUAUGUUUUGACAAUGUGUUAGAGUACUGGAAUGUGACAAUAGGUCCGACUCGAGUCAAACUGGGAAGGAACUGAUUGCUUUUUGCUGAUUGUGAGUUAAUUUAGAUGUAAAGACAGAAUGACACAGCAAGGUUUCUAUGGUAUGAGAGAGAAUGGUAGGACAUUUUCUAUAUUAUGUAUACUAUAAAUGGAAGCUGCAGGUGAUCUGAAAUCCAUUAAGGUUUCCAUAUUAGUUUAGCGCUGACAUACAUGAUGGAAAUAAAAUGGUCGGAUGCACAACGGGAGAGGUGAAAAAAUAAAGCAUCAGGAGUUUCCCAAGAGGGCAAAAACAGGAGAAGAGAGGAUUCUAUAUGAGUUAAUCUUCACAGCAUUUCAGCAUUUCACGUAAAAGGGAUUCUGGGUUUAGGGUGAUUGAGUGCUCUGUUGGUACAAUAAGGUGAGAUAAUUGCUUUUUUUAUAUACAUUUCACACAAAUAAACAUAUUUAAUGGGGCACUUGUAAGGUUUAUCAUAUACGUAAACAUACGUAAACAAGUAUACACACUGUAUUCUGUGUGAUAAACAGUAAUUCACACUACUUAAUACCGUAUGUUUGUCUGUCGUAGUUCUGAAAUUGAGUUGAUCACUAGCAGUCAUUUAAGGAUUAAGUUUUAAGGUUCAUGCAUACCAAGUGUACUCAUGUUUGCCUGCGCUCAAACAUUGGAUCACCACACAUGAGAAAAUCAUUCUCUGUGUUGGUGCAUCAGCAGAUUUUUGAGUAUUUGCAUACGGGGAAUUUUGAUUGACAGGGACAUCAGCUGUAAAGUGACUUGGCGCCUUUGGUGAGAAUAAUGUUAUCACUUUCAAGGAUGCUGUACAGCCCCUGUGUGCUUGUGCGAUCCUUUAUUUGGAUUAUGGGAGAUGUUAUACAUGAUUCAACUUACAUAUACAAUUUCUUUAAGUUUGAUAUCAUGUCUGAAUAACCAGCCUCAUUAUUAUCUCUGUCUGUUUUCUGUUCUGUUUUUAAAUUAAGUGAAUAAACACAAACAAUAUCA